CAUGCGGCUACAUCCCGUUGGGAAUUUUCUAGCCAUUGUCGUCAGGAGAUAGAUCGUGCUCUGUCGGAGGGCGGUUCCGCAUUCCUGAGCGACGUCGAGUCACAACCGCUUCGGGCUUGUUGCGUCGCGCUGCCGGAGGGCGUCAUGUCGCCCGCGUGCUGGAAGAGUCGUGCCAGGGGGCGCGGGCAUGCGCGCUGCGCUCGCCGUCCGCAUAGCCUCUUCGGAGGCAAGGCGAGAAUCGUCUGGCGCCGCAUUCUGCUGCUGUGCCUGGAGAUAUCUAUGGCCGCUGGUCGCCUGCGUGAAGGCUGAGGGCCACGGUUGCGCUGGACAGCGUUACGUUGCCGCUGUCCAGCAGGUUAGUACUAAUUUUUAUAUGUGGGAAUAAGAAAAUUUGGAUUAGAAUCACCUCAUGAUGUAGCAAUUAAGGUCCAAGAGUUUUGAUCUCUGUACUUCAUGUGUGAAGUACGGAAUCUGAUUUGAUGCUACUAGUUCGUGACUUGACUCUCCUUUUUUCUUAUUCGAUUUAUGCUUCCUGAUUCAUGUUCUUCUCGGUUCUUCUCACGAAAUACGCAGUUCCUCCUUCUGUACUUCUUGUUUGCGAUUUCCAAAAUACAAGUAGUUAUUAGAUCUUGGAUUGAUUGCAAGGAAACAAAGACAAAUUGAACAAUCUCCUGGUCCUGUUUUCCUCUGUUACGAAUGUAUGCAUGUCCAUGGAUUCUUUGUGUGGACGGAAUCAAGAGUGAUCGAAUCAGCAACAACAAGAAUUUUAUUCUCUCGUGUGGCCUUUUCUCAGCGAAGCACAAAACUGCUUCAUAACGUGUUAAAUGUAAAACGUAAAGAUCGAAAAGAGAUGAAUGAAAGAUGAUUCAUUUGUAUUUAUUGAUGAUAGAAGUGGGGUAUUUAUACCCGGACAGAAGUACACAAGUUGUUUGGCAGCCAAGUAAACACAUAGU
rnacentral:lncRNA from 1 species